AACAGGUAAAAAAACACAUUCAACCUUGUAUUCUUUCCACAGGCUUUUAGCAGUCUACUGAUCAAUUUCCUCCAUCUUAGUCUCCUGGAAACAAAUAACAUCUGGCUUCCACCUUCUGAUGCACUUUGAUAACCUCUUUUUUCCUCCUAUCAUUCAGCUCUCGAUCAUUCCAAGAUAUUAUCUUCUCUAUCAUGGAUGCUUACAUCGUUGCUCUGGAUCCCCUCUCCCUUCCUUCCACUCUUCUUUCUCUCAUAAUUUAUAGACCACUUCAUUCUUUUUAAUUCCCUACUGCCUCCUUCCCCCUGCUUCUUUCCUAUUUUUUUUUCUUUCCUAUCAUUCUUCUCUGAUUCAGUAAAGUCUUGUUCCAUUUCCUCAAACAACUUAAAAAUUUUAAAUUCAAGACCAUCAAUAGUCAUACCAAACAUCUUACUAACCUUAGAGAAGUUUCUCCGAACCCAAUAAGAAUACUGACUCUCCCAACCAACAUUUUCCUCCAUUACCCGAACAGCUUCG
rnacentral:lncRNA from 1 species